AAGGUGGAAAGGUUCGCAAACAGGUCGGAAUAGGUGUUAUGUCGUUUUGUUUGGAGGUGAGGUUCAAAGGCCUUGCUGUUUGGCAAUUAUAUUACUUUAAAGACUUAAUUUUUAUGGUUUCUAAUUAUUUUUUAUAAGUUUUGGUUUGAAAACAGAUGUUUGAUUAUGGCUUUGUAAUUGAAUAAUUGUUUAAUCAGUGAUAUAUUUUAUUUUUAUAUAUUACCC
rnacentral:misc_RNA from 1 species